AACGAACGCUGGCGGCAGGCUUAACACAUGCAAGUCGAACGCAUCCUUCGGGGGUGAGUGGCAGACGGGUGAGUAACACGUGGGAACGUACCUUUCGGUUCGGGAUAACCCAGGGAAACUUGGGCUAAUACCGGAUACGUCCUUAGGGAGAAAGAUUGACUGCCGAAAGAUCGGCCCGCGUCUGAUUAGCUAGUUGGUGAGGUAACGGCUCACCAAGGCGACGAUCAGUAGCUGGUCUGAGAGGAUGAUCAGCCUCACUGGGACUGAGACACGGCCCAGACUCCUACGGGAGGCAGCAGUGGGGAAUAUUGGACAAUGGGCGCAAGCCUGAUCCAGCCAUGCCGCGUGGAUGAUGAAGGCCCUAGGGUUGUAAAGUCCUUUCGACGGGAAGAUAAUGACGGUACCCGUAGAAGAAGCCCCGCUAACUUCGUGCCAGCAGCCGCCGUAAG
rnacentral:rRNA from 1 species